rnacentral:rRNA from 2 species
GACCUGCGGAGGGAUCAUUG